rnacentral:lncRNA from 1 species
UCUAAUCUUCAUUGUUAUUUCAUAUUCAUAGAUGGCUUGAGUUGUUAUUAUUAAUUAAUUAUUAUAGAGAAAUUAUCAAUCCAAACACCUUCGUUUUCUUUUCCUUCAAAAUUUCCUUGAAUCAAACAAGAUCGAAGGGUUAUCAAAAUGAAGGAUGAUGUUCGAAAACCUUUUAACUACACAGUAAUCAUGUGCUUUCCCAAUGAAAAUCAAUGAAAAACAAAAAAAACAAAAAAAAGGACAUAGAACUACUAGUAUUACAAAUACAAAUGAAAUUUCUUAUUCUAUACCAGUUUCUUUCGUAGCGUUGGUGCCUGGGUAGACUGGGUUUUCGCCAUUCGUUUGUUUCUUUUCACAGCCGAAAAAGCCUAGCAAUCAAUCUUCCCUCGGCCCCUUUCCGAUUCUUUAAGAUGGACUCAAUUAUUAUUCUAUCACUUCCUAGUUAUAGUAGAAACCGUACUCCAUAUAAGAACAAGCAUCUAUUGGAUCCUGGCAAAGAGAUCUUUCCACGAAACUACCAAAAUAGAAUAGAAGAAGUUGACGGGAAAGUAAACGUAGGGGGGUUCUUUUUAUAAAGAAUAAUCAGUUUAAGUGCGCGCAGAGUCGCGCGG